rnacentral:rRNA from 1 species
UGAGUAAUGUCUGGGAAACUGCCUGAUGGAGGGGGAUAACUACUGGAAACGGUAGCUAAUACCGCAUAACGUCGCAAGACCAAAGAGGGGGACCUUCGGGCCUCUUGCCAUCAGAUGUGCCCAGAUGGGAUUAGCUAGCAGGUGGGGUAAUGGCUCACCUAGGCGACGAUCCCUAGCUGGUCUGAGAGGAUGACCAGCCACACUGGAACUGAGACACGGUCCAGACUCCUACGGGAGGCAGCAGUGGGGAAUAUUGCACAAUGGGCGCAAGCCUGAUGCAGCCAUGCCGCGUGUGUGAAGAAGGCCUUCGGGUUGUAAAGCACUUUCAGCGAGGAGGGAGGUGGUGAACUUAAUACGUUCAUCAAUUGACGUUACUCGCAGAAGAAGCACCGGCUAACUCCGUGCCAGCAGCCGCGGUAAUACGGAGGGUGCAAGCGUUAAUCGGAAUUACUGGGCGUAAAGCGCACGCAGGCGGUUUGUUAAGUCAGAUGUGAAAUCCCCGGG